rnacentral:rRNA from 1 species
CCUACGGGUGGCAGCAGUGGGGAAUAUUGCACAAUGGGGGAAACCCUGAUGCAGCGACGCCGCGUGAAGGAAGAAGUAUUUCGGUAUGUAAACUUCUGUCAGCAGGGAAGAAAGUGACGGUACCUGACUAAUACGCCCCGGCUACCUACGUUCCAGCAGCCGCAGGACUACGUAGGGGGCAAGCGUUAUCCGGAUUUACUGGGUGGAAAGGGAGCGUAGGCGGCGAUGCAAGUCAGAAGUGAAAGCCGGGGGCUCAACUCCGGGACUGCUUUUGAAACUGUGUUGCUAGAUUGCAGGAGAGGUAAGUGGAAUUCCUAGUGUAGCGGUGAAAUGCGUAGAUAUUAGGAGGAACACCAGUGGCGAAGGCGGCUUACUGGACUGUAAAUGACGCUGAGGCUCGAAAGCGUGGGGAGCAAACAGGAUUAGAUACCCCUGUAGUC